rnacentral:rRNA from 1 species
UUAUUAUGAGAGUUUGAUCCUGGCUCAGGACGAACGCUGGCGGCGUGCCUAAUACAUGCAAGUCGAACGCUUCUUUCCUCCCGAGUGCUUGCACUCAAUUGGAAAGAGGAGUGGCGGACGGGUGAGUAACACGUGGGUAACCUACCCAUCAGAGGGGGAUAACACUUGGAAACAGGUGCUAAUACCGCAUAACAGUUUAUGCCGCAUGGCAUAAGAGUGAAAGGCGCUUUCGGGUGUCGCUGAUGGAUGGACCCGCGGUGCAUUAGCUAGUUGGUGAGGUAACGGCUCACCAAGGCCACGAUGCAUAGCCGACCUGAGAGGGUGAUCGGCCACACUGGGACUGAGA